AUGCUCACUUGCUCCUCCUUGCCCUUACCUCAGUCUCACCGCUCCCUCCUUUCACCUCGCCUUUCCUUCCUGAAGCUUAUCCUACUUCCUCUCUGUAUUUCCUGCCUGUUUUAUCCACUAUCAUUCUUUUUUACACUGUCCUCCCCUCUUUCCCAUUCUCUUGCGUCUGCCUUUCAUUCUCUCCAUUUCCUCAAGCCUCAUUUUCCUGCCAGUGCUGAUUUAUGUUCCUUUAUUUGUGGCCCUGAGGAGGGCUGUUGUUGGUGGGCUGAUGAGCUUUGUUUUGACUUUGUGUGUGUGCGUGUGCGUGUUCAGUUGCUAUUUUGGUGUGACUGUCUACAGUUCCUCCUCUCUCUUGCUCGCUCUCUGUUUCUCUCUGCAUUGAUAUUUACGUGUGUGUGUGUGUGUGUGUGUGUGUCUGUGUCUGUGUGUGUGUGUGUGUGUGUGUGUGUGUGUGUGUCUGUGCGUGUGUGUCUGUGCGUGUGUGUCUGUGCGUGUGUGUCUGUGCGUGUGUGUCUGUGCGUGCGUGCGUGCGUGCGCGUGCGUGUGUGUGUGUAUGUAUGUAUGCCAAUAAGUCUGUGCAUGUGUUUGUGUGGGUGUUUCAUCCCUGGAGAGAUGAAAAGCCUGGGACCAUAUGUUAUGCAGCAGUAGGCCACAACAGACAGCAGUGUUGUGGAGUUCAACAAUAAGAAUUGCCCAAUGGCUGAAGGCCAGUUGGAGGUUUAUUUGGACCAGUUGCCUGGUUAGCUAGUCGCCAAAUUGAUCCAGCGCCUGAAAAAAAAAACUUUUUGCCUUGCUGCUUCUCAUUGGCUUUAAAUCUGUAUCUUUGUCUUUCUACUGUGUUCUGCUCUGCCAUUGGCCAGCUCAACUGUGUGUUAUGAUUUGACCAAUCCAGAGAUUUCCUUGAAGAAUGGAACAAUGACACUGCACCAUCACACUAACAUUGUAGCACUAUGAAUGGACUUAAUCAACUCAAUGUACUCAAAAAACUGAUAGCAAUCCCAUAAAGGAUUCUUUUGGGAGACAACUGUAAUCAGCUGAGAUACUGGCUUGCUCUGCACAACACUUUUGUCGUGUGGCCACUGUACCUUCUGGUUAUUGUGGCAUGAAACUCUCUGUGUUAUUCCCUCUUGGUGAUGCUCCUGUUUGUUGAAAAGAAGCAGCUGGUGUGUAUCAGAGGUCUCCCCAGGCCAGCAGUGAAAGUUAGCAGUGACGAGCACCAUGGUGUAUGACAAAGUGGGCAUUCCCACUUCAAUCAGAAACACAGUUUUACUUUGGAUAAACACAUCUACCCUUUAGUCAGCCAGUGCUCAUUUGAAAUAAAAAACUACUGGGCGCUUUGCUGCAGAAACAAGAGUUUCCCUGGGUUGAAAUGUUGAAUAAAAGCCAUCCUGUUAUCAGGUUGUUGUGAGUAAAACACUAUAGCUUGAACAUUAUUACCAAUGAUUACACCUUCCAAUAUUGCACAGCUGAAGUACACAACAACAGCUGCUGGCACUUAGUCUGUAUAUUGGUGGCUGACAACUCUUCAGAUCGUCCAAUUACUGAAUUGGUGGGACAGAUGAAGUGGGAAAAACUAAUCAAUGUGAUCAAUUUCACCUCUGUUUUUCUUGUUCUAUAAUACUUCAUACAGAAAAUUCAGCACAAUUUACAUUUUUACAGCAAUAAUUCAGUUAGGACAAAAAUAUAGUCAUGAAUGAGAGGUUAUUCUUAACACAGAUUUUUCAGAUCUACCGAGUUUCCUCUGUUAAGCUGCUGUAAUGGAAUUCAACUACAGUAUUUCUGAAAAUGUUACACAAUAAAAGUCUUCUUGGAAGGGGAAUGUGAACUAAUAGAAGGCCUUUAAUGUGAAACAGUUACAGGAAGUGUUGAGUCUGUGUUAAAAGCAGCAUUAACAGCAGAAACCACAAAUAAACAGGAACAGAGAUCAAAUAUAACUAUAAAACAGGAGAAAUGAGAAAUAAAAGCCUGGUUCUCUCGAUGAAGGCUCAUCUAAAAUAUGAUGGAUUAAAGGGCC
rnacentral:lncRNA from 15 species